GGAACCGGGGGUAUUCCGUUAACAAUGACAACCGCCAGGGUUGUUAUUAAAAGAUGGUUUUGCUAACAAUUAGGAAGGUCCCGGGGUGCAUUAGCUAGUUGGUAAGGUAAUGGCUUACCAAGGCCAAUGAUGCAUAGCCGAGUUGAAGGACUGAUCGGCCACAAUGGGAAUGGGACCCGGCCCAUAUUCCUACGGGAGGCAGCAGUAGGGAAUCUUCCCACAAUGGGGGAAAGCCUGAUGGAGCAACGCCGGGUGUUUGAUGAAGGGUUUCGGUUCGUAAAACACUGUUGUAAGAGAAGAAUGACAUUGAGAGUAACUGUUCAAUGUGUGACGGUAUCUUACCAGAAAGGAACGGCUAAAUACGUGCCAGCAGCCGCGGUAAUACGUAUGUUCCAAGCGUUAUCCGGAUUUAUUGGGCGUAAAGCGAGCGCAGACGGUUAUUUAAGUCUGAAGUGAAAGCCCUCAGCUCAACUGAGGAAUUGCUUUGGAAACUGGAUGACUUGAGUGCAGUAGAGGAAAGUGGAACUCCAUGUGUAGCGGUGAAAUGCGUAGAUAUAUGGAAGAACACCAGUGGCGAAGGCGGCUUUCUGGACUGUAACUGACGUUGAGGCUCGAAAGUGUGGGUAGCAAACAGGAUUAGAUACCCUGGUAGUCCACACCGUAAACGAUGAGUGCUAGGUGUUUGAGGGUUUCCGCCCUUAAGUGCCGCAGCUAACGCAUUAAGCACUCCGCCUGGGGAGUACGACCGCAAGGUUGAAACUCAAAGGAAUUGACGGGGACCCGCACAAGCGGUGGAGCAUGUGGUUUAAUUCGAAGCAACGCGAAGAACCUUACCAGGUCUUGACAUCCCUUGACAACUCCAGAGAUGGAGCGUUCCCUUCGGGGACAAGGUGACAGGUGGUGCAUGGUUGUCGUCAGCUCGUGUCGUGAGAUGUUGGGUUAAGUCCCGCAACGAGCGCAACCCUUAUUACUAGUUGCCAGCAUUCAGUUGGGCACUCUAGUGAGACUGCCGGUGACAAACCGGAGGAAGGUGGGGAUGACGUCAAAUCAUCAUGCCCCUUAUGACCUGGGCUACACACGUGCUACAAUGGCGUAUACAACGAGUUGCCAACCCGCGAGGGUGAGCUAAUCUCUUAAAGUACGUCUCAGUUCGGAUUGUAGGCUGCAACUCGCCUACAUGAAGUCGGAAUCGCUAGUAAUCGCGGAUCAGCACGCCGCGGUGAAUACGUUCCUGGGUCUUGUACACACCGCCCGUCACACCAUGAGAGUUUGUAACACCCAAAGGCGGUGGGGUAACCUUCGGGAGCCAGCCGUCUAAGGUGGGACAGAUGAUUA
rnacentral:rRNA from 1 species